CACAGUAGAAUAUAAUUCAGACAAAACAUUUUUCAGUAAUUUAAUUUUUAGAAGGAAUUUUGUACCUGAGAUUCAUAGCUUGGGCACAUUUCAAAAAUCCUUCAAUUUCAACUACUGAAAAUUGUUGGCAGUCUAUAAGCAUCAUUUCAACAAGUUUUGUUUAGAUUCUUAAACUCCAUAGACUCAACACAAUAAGGAAUUGCCUUAAAGGAUUCCUGUAAAGUCUGUUUUUUUGAAGCUUGCUUAAUGAGAAUCAAAUGAGCUUUGGUUACCUUACUUGUCUCUAACACUUUCUUGUCUUUAUAGUCAUUACGUUCUUUGUUACUAUAUUUGGAUGAAACAUGAUUUAUCAUGGCUGUUGCAAGUGAUUUUGGAUUUUUUUCCUCAUGAACUUCUGAGGCAGAAAAGUUGACAUUUAGCUUUUAUUUUGUCUUCAUAACUAUGAAGGAUUUUCAAAUAAGACUUUUUCUUAAAACACUCAUGGCCUUAUAAUUAAACAAUUAAAAAUUAAAUAAAGUUAUUUAUUUAUUUAUUUUUUGAGACAGAGUCUCACUCAGAGUGCAAUGGCGUGAUCUCAGCUCACUGCAACUUCCGCCUCCCGGGUUCAAGCAAUUCUCCUGCCUCAGCCUCCCGAAUAGCUGGGAUUACAGGCAUGCGCCACCACGCCAGGCUAAUUUUUGUAUUUUUAGUAGGGACAGGGUUUUGUCACGUUGGCCAGGCUGGUCUUGAAUUCCUGACCUCAGGUGAUCCACCAGCCUCGGCCUCCCAAAGUGCUGGGAUUACUGACGUGAGCCACUGCCGCCAGCCAAUAAAAUUCUUAAAGGCUAUUUUGUUUAUUGUUCCAAAUGCCGAUGCAAAAAAAAAAUUCUACAAAGAUUAGAAUUAUAUCUAAUUUUUAUUUUUGUUUUAUAAUUUAAAAAAGUAUUUGCUCCAAAAGAAUAUGAUUAUCUUAAAUGUAUUUGGCUACUGCAUAUUAACCUAAUAUUUUAUUUUAUUUUAUUCUUGGAUUUUGAGACAGGGUCUCACUCUAUGGCUCAGGAUGGAGUGCAGUGGUGCAAUCAUAGCUCACUGUAACCUCAAACUCCUGGGCUCAAGUGAUCUUCCCACCUUAGCCUCCGGAAUAGCUGGAACUACAGAUGUGUGCCACCACACCUGGCUAAGUUUAAAAAAAAACUUUGGUAGUCUAAAACUCCUGGCCUCAAGCAAUCUUCCCAUUUUGACCCCUCAAAGUGCUGGGGUUACAGGCAUGAGCCACAAUGUCUGGCCCUUAAUAUUUGUAUUGACUGUUCACCUAUUUCCCUAUUUAUUAAUAACUUUUUGUAAGUUCCUAUGUUUGUACAUAAAAUUACUUUCAUAAUCCCCAUUAAGUAUUGUAGCAUUUAACUCCUGCCAUAAUAAAUAUAUAUUUAUACUUCAAAUGACUGAAACAUUUCGACAUACAAGGCAUAUAGGGAGGUUUUUACCCCAGUUGACCUCUAGAAUGCUUACCUAUAUUUAAAAUGCUUAGAUAUUAAAAAUAAACCUAAAUUAUAUUCUUUGUUCAUAUUACCGACAGUUUGGUAUUGAUUAUAUAUGAUGAUAACAUAUAAGAUCACAUCUUGCACCAGUUCUGGGAUGGCAGAAGUAAUGUUGAGGUAGACAUUUGGCCUUCCAAAGGAUAAGGCCAAAGGUGAGAGCAGAUUUUGGGCAAAUAUUAAGGCCAAAGCUAACUUUCUUUACUUUUCUCUUUCUUUCUUUCCUUUCUUUCCUUUCUUUCCUUUCUCUCUUUCUCUCUUUCUUUCCUUCUUUCCUUCUGACAGACUCUCGCUCUGUCACCCGGGCUGGAGUGCAGUGGCACGAUCUCAGCUCACUGCAACCUCCACCUCCCGGGUUCAAGUGUUUCUCCUGCCUCAGCCUCCUAAGUAGCUGGGAUUACAGGCACCCGCCACCAUGCCCAGCUAAUUUUUAUAUUUUUAGUAGAGAUGGGGUUUCACCACGUUGGCCAGGCUGGUCUCGAUUUCCUGGCCUCAAGUGAUCCAGCUGCCUUGGCCUACCCAAAGUGUUGGAAUUAUGGGCGUGGGCCACCGCGCCUGGCUCCAAAGCUAACUUUCAAUGCAUCCCUACAGCUGACUCUUACUUUCUCCCCUGCUCCAGAACUGUCCUAGAUGAUGUGACUUAGAAAGUGUCUGGGAUGAUUUUAAUCCAUAAGAGCACACAGAGGAACAUUAUAACAUCCUGCUUCAUUUGGCUUCACUUCCACAUAGCAUCCCGUGCCUUCACUAAUACCACCCCCACCCCUGCCCCAGAAGACAUAAGUCUCUUCCUUUUGUGAGCUGGGUCCUUUUAAAAUUACUAGGGUGGGCAAGUUAAGUGGAGAGUGCACCUGCAGUGAAAAAAGGGAGAUAACUGAAAAAAGAAAGACUCUUUCAUCUUUUUUGUGAUGACUGGAUUUUCAUGCUGUUAUGUGAGAUGUGCCUCCCUCAAACCUUGUCAUGACAUCUUGGCACAUUACCCAUCUGAUGUGAAAAAAAAAAAUGGAGGGAAAGAAGUUGACCAGGAGACCGAAUAUAAGAAGAGCCAGAGAGGACCAUGGUUUUCUUUAGAGAAGAAGAGGCUGCAGAGGUGAAGCAUCACUGGAAUCAUUAAAUGAUUGUUGGAGGUUAUGCAUUGUUUCUAAUUUCCCCUAAGUAUAGAUGUAAAAAUUGCAGGAAACCACUCUUGGAUGGAAGAAGGUACAUUAAAUGUUGGAGAAAGUUGCUGAGGCAGGAUCUCAAGAGUCGGGUGGAAGAAGAACCAGUGGAGCAAUGAUGUCCUCAGAAACCAGCAAACGUACUAGGCAGACUUUCCAGUUUUAAUGCUCUUUAUGGUGUUGUAAAAAGUAAGAACAGCCUUUCUCUAACAAGGGAUAUCCUGAACAAGAGAUGGGCUGCCCUCAAAUUUCUGGUUGUCUAUUGCUGAUUAAAAGGAAGGCCAGCUAAACACAAUGCAGUAUCCUAGAUUGGAUCCUGCAAUAGAAAAAGGACAUUAGUGGAAAAACUAGUGAAAUCUAAGCCUGGAGUUUUGAAAAUGUACCAGGAUAGGCCGGGCGCGGUGGCUCACACUUGUAAUCCCAGCACUUUGGGAGGCCAAGGCUGGUGGAUCACCUGAGGUCAGGAGUUCAAGACCAGCCUGACCAACAUGGUGAAACCCCAUCUCUACUAAAAGUACAAAAAUUAGCUGGGCCUGGUGGCACACGCCUGUAAUCCCAGCUACUUGGGAGGCUGAGGCAGGAGAAUCGCUUGAACCCAGGAGGCAGAGAUUGCAGUGAGCUGAGAUCGCACCACUGCACUCCAGCCUGGGCGACAGAGUGAGACUCUUUCUCAAAAAAAAAAAAAAAAAAAAAAAAAGAAGAAAGAAAAAGAAAGAGAGAGAGAGAAAGAAAGAAAGAAAAAGAAAGAAAGAAAGGAAAGAAAGAAAGAAAGAAAAGAAAGAAAGAAAGAAAGAAAGAAAGAAAGAAAGAAAGAAAGAAAGAAAGAAAGAAAGAACGAACCAGGAUAAUAUAAUGUGUUAACCUUGGUGAAAACUGGAUGGGAAUAUGUGAGAAUUCUCUGUACUAUCUCUGCAAAUUUUCUGCAAAUCUAAAUUUAUUCCAAAAGUGAAAAACAAACAAAAAGAAAAAACCUAAAACUGAGGGAAAAUAAGAAGGCAUGAAUUUGAAAGCAGGCUAGUGGGUUUUUACAGGGAGGCAUUUCCUUCAGGGCUAGGCAGAGCCCCCAGAGAAGGUUAAAUGGGAAGAACGUAAUGACUACUCCAAAUAUGGACUAGAAAGUAAAGUAAUGAAACACAACUGAGGGAAAGUAAGUAGAGGAUAGACUCACAUCAGGAUACUUCGUGUAAAUUUUGAGAAAAUGAUGUCAAUAUUAACAUGUAUAUUAUAAUGAGAUAGCAAUGGUCUAAUACAAACUCAUUCUCUCAUACAGAUUAUCCUUUAGUGUUUAGCCAAUGUUCGAUUCACAUGGAAUUGACAUCUGCCACCUUUGGUGAGAGUUAUAAGGAACCAGAUGUUUUUUUUUUCUCCCUUCCUCCAUGCAGAUGUGAACUGUGGUUAAACAGUGGUUUUGGAGUGAGAUGGUCCAAUAUUUUUUCUUACCAUGUUGUUUCAUAGUUUCAAAUUCUGCAUUAAAAAAUUAAACAGCUUAAAAAAUGAACAAGUAAAAUUAUAUCAAACUAAAAAUCUUCCACAUAAUGAACUAAAUAAUCAACAAAAUGAAAAGGCUACCCACAGAAUGGGAGAAAAUACUUGCAAACUAUAUAGCUGAUAAAAGGUACUAUGGUCUUAAUGUUUGUGUCCCCCCAGAUUCAUAUAUUGAAGCCUAAUCCCCAAUGUGACAGUGUUUCCAUUAGGGCAGAGCCCUAAUGAAUGGUAUUAGUGGCCCUAUAAUGAUAUUCCCAAAAUUCCUUCUGUAUGUACUCCAUGUGCUUUCUCGAUUAUCCUAUUCUAGUGCAACCACUUUUUGCAAUACUGAAUUAUCAGGCAUUAAUACCUUAGCAUAGAUUUGUUUAUCUCAUCCUAGAGACUGGUAAAUGUUUUACUCAUUUAUUUAUUUAUUUUAGAGACAGGAUCUCACUAUGCUGCCCAGGCUGGCCCUGAACUCCUGGGCUCAAGGUAUCCUCCCACCUCAAUUUACCAAGUAGCUGGGACUGUGGGCACAUGCCACCAUGCCUGGGAAGACUGGUUAACUUUGAUGGGAAAUCAGAAAAGACCUUGAGUACCGAGGAUGGACUGUGAAAGUGAAUGAUGAGGUGUAGAACAAAAUGGGGAGAGGACACUGGAAAUUGCCUCACUUACCUCAGGCUAAGAGUUCUGAAAGCUCCCCUAGCAACUUCAGUCCGUGGGAAGCUUCUGUAAAAAUCUUUAUUUUAAACUUUUAUUUUAGGUUCAGAAGUACAUGUGCAGGUUUAUUAUAUAGGUAAACUCAUUUCACAAGGGUUUGCUGUACAGAUUAUUUCAUCAUCCAAGUGUUAAGCCUAGUACCCAAUAGUUAUUUUUUCUGCUCCUCUCCCUCCUCCUAACCUCCGCCCUCAAGUAGGCCCCAGUGUCUGUUAUUCCUUCUUUGUGUUCAUGAGUUCUCAUCAUUUAGCUCUCACAUAUAAGUGACAACAUGCAAUAUUUAGUUUUCUGUUACUGCAUUCGUUUGCUAAGGAUAAUAACCUCCAGCUCCAUCCAUGUUCCCGCAAAAGACACAAUUGCAUUCUUUUCUAUGGCUGCAUAGUAUUCUAUGGUGUGUAAGUACCAUAUUUUCUUUAUCCGGUCUGACAUUGAUGGGCAUUUAGGUUGAUUCCAUAUCUUUGCUAUUGUGAAUAGUGCUGCAAUGAACAUUCACAUACAUGUGUCUUUAAGGUAAAAUGAUUUAUAUUCCUCUGGGUGUAUACCCAGUAUUGGGAUUGCUGGGUUGAAUGGUAGUUCUGUUUAUAUCUCUUUGAGGAAUUGCCAUACUGCUUUCCACAAUGGUUGAACUAAUUUACACUUGCACCAACAGUGUGUAAGUGUUCCCUUUUCUCCACAACCUCAUCAGCAUCUGUUAUUUUUUGACUUCUUAAUAAUUGUGGGCGGCAAGCCACCCAGGCGCCGAGGCAAGAGACCGAGGACACGAGCUGUUCCAGCAUAAUAAAAUAUAAAAGAAUAGUUAUACCAGAUAUAGAUCUUAGAUAUGAUUAUAUACGAAUAUCAUUAAUCAUUAGUUGGUAGUAAUUACUCUUUAUCCCAAUAUUAUAUAAUCCUCGCUCUACAAUCAUAACCUAGGAAAAACCAGGCCAUACAGAGAUAGGAGCUGAGGGGACACAGUGAGAAGUGACCAGAAGACAAGAGUGCGAGCCUUCUGUUAUACGCAGACAGGGCCACCAGAAGGGCUCCUUGGUCUAGCGGUGACGCCAGCGUCUGGGAAGAUGCCCGUUGCCGAGCAGACGGUGGUCUAGCGGUAGCCUCAGUGUCAAGGAAAAACACCAGCUACUUAGCAGACCGGGAAAGGGAG
rnacentral:lncRNA from 10 species